rnacentral:lncRNA from 1 species
AGCUGCAGUGGAUACUGCUUCCCAAAGACCUUGCACCUGUAAGACAGGCGGCAGAACCACUGAGCUAAAUCCCCGGCCCCAUUUACCAUUUCUUGAGAGCUACAUUCUUGGUCCACUGGAGCUACACAGGACAUGCUCAGAAGGAGCUGCAAUCUGGGGGAAGAUCCAGCCAUUGGGGUGGACUGAAUUAUUGUUCCAAUCUCUCAUGCCUUGGUGUGUGAAUAUCCUUUGCCAUGGAAUUAUAGACCCUUCUAUAGA